rnacentral:misc_RNA from 1 species
GUGAAUCAUCGAAUCUUUGAACGCAAAUUGCACUCUCUGGUAUUCCGGAGAGUAUGCCUGUUUGAGGGUCAGUUUAGAUAAAAAUCGGUGUGGUUGGUGCCUUUUGUGGUGAAGCAGCGGAUGUGGGUUGUCUUGGCUUCGGUUAAGUGAUCUAAAAUUUUGCAUGAUUUUUUCGAACGUAUUUAAAUGAUUUUACGUACGUUUGUGAUAUCGAAUAUUAUGUGCGGUUAUCUUCAUGAUGCUAGGAUUUAAUUUGUAAUCUAAGUG